AUACGGAGGGGGCUAGCGUUGUUCGGAAUUACUGGGCGUAAAGCGCGCGUAGGCAGACCAGUCAGUCAGGGGUGAAAUCCCGGGGCUCAACCCCGGAACUGCCUUUGAUACUGCUGGUCUUGAGUUCGAGAGAGGUGAGUGGAAUUCCGAGUGUAGAGGUGAAAUUCGUAGAUAUUCGGAGGAACACCAGUGGCGAAGGCGGCUCACUGGCUCGAUACUGACGCUGAGGUGCGAAAGCGUGGGGAGCAAACAGGAUUAGAAACCCCUGUAGUCC
rnacentral:rRNA from 1 species